GUGCUCGCUUCAGCAACACAGAUACUAAAAUUGGAAUGAUAUAGAGAAGUUUACCAUGGUCUAUGCACAAGGGAUGACACAGAAAUUCUUGAAGCAUCUCAUAUUUUU